rnacentral:rRNA from 1 species
CCUACGGGUGGCAGCAGUGAGGAAUAUUGGUCAAUGGGCGGAAGCCUGAACCAGCCAUGCCGCGUGCAGGAAGACGGCUCUAUGAGUUGUAAACUGCUUUUGUACGAGGGUAAACGCAGAUACGCGUAUCUGUCUGAAAGUAUCGUACGAAUAAGGAACGGCUAACUCCGUGCCAGCAGCCGCGGUAAUACGGAGGAUUCAAGCGUUAUCCGGAUUUCUUGGGGUUAAAGGGUGCGUAGGCGGUCGGAUAAGUUAGAGGUGAAAUCCCGAGGCUCAACUUCGGAAUUGCCUCUGAUACUGUUCGGCUAGAGAGUAGUUGCGGUAGGCGGAAUGUAUGGUGUAGCGGUGAAAUGCUUAGAGAUCAUACAGAACACCGAUUGCGAAGGCAGCUUACCAAGCUACUUCUGACGUUGAGGCACGAAAGCAUGGGGAGCAAACAGGAUUAGAUACCCGGGUAGUC